rnacentral:rRNA from 1 species
UACGAAGGGGGCUAGCGUUGCUCGGAAUCACUGGGCGUAAAGGGUGCGUAGGCGGGUCUUUAAGUCAGGGGUGAAAUCCUGGAGCUCAACUCCAGAACUGCCUUUGAUACUGAGGAUCUUGAGUUCGGGAGAGGUGAGUGGAACUGCGAGUGUAGAGGUGAAAUUCGUAGAUAUUCGCAAGAACACCAGUGGCGAAGGCGGCUCACUGGCCCGAGUACUGACGCUGAGGCACGAAAGCGUGGGGA